GCCUUCGUAGUGUAAUGGUCAGUACGCUCGACGCGUAACCGAGAGGUCCGUGGUUCGAUUCCCGGCGAAGGCG
rnacentral:tRNA from 1 species